UUGAAAAGAAAAGAAAUAAUUAAAAAAAUAACUGUUUUAUACUUGGAAAAUAAAAAGAGACAAUGUUGUUUAAAAAAAAACGAACCCGUAAGAAAGGUGGUGAGUGGGAGGAAUAAAAAAUAAUGAUGAAUGGAAAAAAUUAGUGGGUUUAGUCUUUGUAUCUUAUGGUUCUAUAUAGGCUGAUAUAUUCCUUCCCAUCAGAAUUCUCCAGACUCCACCUCAUACCUUAAUCUUUGCUUUGCUUUUUUUUUUUUGGGUAAAAACCUUAAUCUUUGCCUUUGAUUCGCUUUCUUGAAUUCAUACCUUAUUUUAAUUUUCUUCAACACCUAAAAAGAGAAUCAGACAAUCUUGGCUUCUUAAAUAUAUAUCACUUUCACGUGGUUUUUACCAAAUCUUAAGAGCAUCCUCAUCCUAGAGAUCCAUAUGGAUCUCUUAAGCCAUUAUUAUUAUUAUUUUUGAUUUAAAGACUAUGUUUAGAAACAUCAUUGAGGAAUCUUAAAAUUUCCAUCGCCUUUAGCACAUCCGCUGUCGUAAUUUGCUACCAAGGUAGAACUGUUAGUGUAGCUGAUCAGCAUCGUACUGCAAAAAAGACGACAAAAGCAUUACUCAAUCAUAAUUCAAGUUGAGAAGCCAUUUUACUUUGCACCGAAUAAAGAGAUAACUAUGAUCAAACACAAAAACCUUGCUCAUUCGUAAACCAUGUUGCGGCUAAAGUAACUCAAACUAAUAAUGAUCAAACCCACCAAAUAAACCCAGAGAAAUGAUCAAACCAUGAGAAACCCCAAAAGUUUGAUCAAACCCACACAUUCCAAAUUUUUCAAUCUAUGUCGUUUGCAAAAUACAACAAGAUUUAUGCGAUUAAACACCAACCAAAAUCAAACUAACCAAAGAGCCCAUCAUCAUCACUAAUAAAACCCUAUACAAACGAAAAUCGAUUUGGGGACAUACAUAAAAUCGAUUUGGGGACAGAAGUUAAAUCGAUUAAGGUUUGGAAAGUGUACCUGCAUCGCCAUUAUUGAUUACCGAUGCUAGAGGACCCAGAUGUCGACGGAGGAACCCCAAAUCGCUGUGACACGCCGUCGGAAAAAACAGGACCGUCAAAAUCGCCUUCGACGUAUACAACGAGGAAGACUUGGGAAAGAAAUGUUUCGACCAAAAAAAAUUAACCCAAAGAAAAGAUAUUUCUCUCCAAUAAUUCUCUACCAAUCACACACUCACACCUG
rnacentral:lncRNA from 1 species